rfam:Pteropus alecto contig27956, whole genome shotgun sequence.
UGUGGGCCCGAGGGUCCAUAGAUGACGUUAUCAGUUCAUAGGCAUUUAGUCUGGUGUUCGAGGAAAACAAGGGUGCAGCUUAAGCGAAAAGAAAAACGUCUUAUUGCUAGUGUCUAAACUCAUAACAGCAGAAUGUGUUUCCGACUAUGUGUAUUAUAUGGAUACACAUGUACUUAAAACAGCGCUGCCUG